GAACCGCCAGAAACUACGAUCUCACAGUCGAAUACAGAAAUCGAAUGUUCUACUAUUGAAACUUCAAAAUUUUCCGACUUAACAAUCGAACUAACGAAUUUAUCGAAAGACGAUAUUGCUCAACUUAGAAAUAUUUCUGUCGAUAGAGCUGCAAUGAACAGGUCAAUUAAAGAGUUUACGAAGCAAGGUUCUUCUGACCCCGACGCACUCUAUCAAGCGUUGGAAAACAGUUACUUUGAACAGACCGACGAUAUGACUUCGAUCGUAUAUGACAAAGCGAACAGUGAUGUAGAUGUACCAUGUCAUGGAGAUUUCAUCAUUUUCUUAGGGUAUUUUGACAAAGAAAAUGAAAUAGAUGCAAUGGAGUUCAAAAAAGCUGAAUUGAAAUCUAGAAAACGAAAAUUGGUGGUAACCGAUGUAGGUGAGCCGUGGCCGAAAAGAAAAACGCUAUCAAAGCAGCAGGUUGAGAAGUUAAAGAGAAGUCGGAUAGUGCCAGUUAACGAGCAAAAAUGGGAAUCAUUCUUUUCUAUAAAUUAUCAGGCAGAGUCUGGUGAAGGUGACAUCACAAGAGUCGAAUAUGAAUCGGACUCGGAAGAAGAAUCAGAAGACGAAGAUAUUAGUAAUCAUGAGGACCAAGCUUCGUCGGAAUGCGAAACAACUCACACGGAUCUUAAGAUUCAUGUUUCUGACUAUUCUAUCGAAAAUGGAGCUAAAGAAAAUAAUUCAGACCCAGAAAGGCCGGAAUUAAGUCAAGAUUCAGGAGUGGAAGUUAGCAGAAGUUUGAAUACUUCCGUCGAAGACUCCCCAAGUCAGCCAUUAGCUGAAGAAAAUUCUACGUCAAAUCAAGUUACACCUACCAGUGCGACGCCUGGUUGUCUUAGAAACGGUGCAAUAUAUCCUGAUUUAAGGGACGGUAUCUGUUCAGAAGAUACUCUUCCUGAUGUAUUUGAAAUUGAAGAGGAACCACGCAAGUUGACUGCCGCCGAAGAAGAAGCUGAAAAGACAAGAGCUCGAGUAGAGGAGUGGUGUACUUAUAUUACCGCUAAGCUGAAAAAGGUCGAGGAAAAGGAUUUUAAUAUUCACGAGUACGGCACAAAAAUUAUUAACAAUAUGGAUAUCAACGAAACUAAACCCUUUGGAAGCUUUGUGAGAGGGAAAUCAUCAGCUGAAGUAGUAAGAUUUUUUACUUCCUCUCUCCAACUGGCCAGUACACUUAAUGUGGAAAUAUGUGGUGCACAAAAAGGAAAAUUGUCCAACGACACUUUCCAGCUGAAAUUAUUAAGCAAGGAACGUUAUCACGAACAUUUACAAAACUAUCAAGCCCCGUCCGAGGAAAAUCUGCCUAAUAAACUGGAAAAAAUCAAGGAAAUUCGCAUGCAGAACAAGAAGAGUCAAAGUUUGAAGCGUAAGGCACCGCAACCAAAAGAGCAGCAGUCGAGUACUCGAAAGAAUAGUAGCAAAACAUCCGUACCGUCCCAAACACCCAAGAAGAGUAAAAUUUUGAAAUACAACAUGCUGAAGGGUUCGGAUCAGGAUUCGGUACCCAUUGGUGCUUCUACAAGUGAAGAAGAUCUCAGGUAUAUGCAACCUUCCACUUCAUCGCAAGCAGACUUGAUGGAUCAGCAGCAGAAUUUUCCGUUAUCUUACAACCAUGACGCGUAAAGCCUUAUUGGAAUAAUUUGCUGGGUCGUGUUAUCAAAAUCAUUUUUAUUCUACGGUUUUGGCAGCAGUAGACUUGUGAGCACAAAAUUGGGUUCAAAAAAAUUUUGAUUACGUGAGACUAAUGUAUCUUGAGGACAUCAAACUUCAAACGAAGAAACAAAACAAGUUUUGUGUUCCAAUUUGAUUAUUCUGUAUAUGAUUUGAUAGAAUUAAUUUUGUCAGUUAAUAUUUUCAAGCAGUACGUUGACAAUGUGAAAAUAACAUAAAAUAGUUAUAAAUUUAGUCGCAUUGAACGAAAUUUCUUGCAGGACGUGUUAGACUCUGCAAUAUUUGAAAUACAUGGUCCGUCUAGAAUCAGUGUGGAUAGUGGUUGCAUGCCAUCGUGCGACGAAGAUUUUCUUGAACAGUUUGAGCAGUUACAACAUAUGAGUGAAAACUGUUCCAGCACGGUUAACACUCCAACAAUAAUCGGUUAACCGAUGAAACCCCUAUCGUCAAAUACAUACAUUAAGAAAAUGACGUAGCUUCUUAAAAAGUGAAAUGUAAAGUAUUGUUUAGUCGACAGUCGAGCCCUAUAUUACGGAUACAUAGAUUCGGUCUUAUAGUGGUGCAUUCAGUUUCAUUUGCAACAAUGGUUAGUGACCGUUAGUCGAUUUUUGGGAACAGUGGUCAAUGUUUUAGUUUUAAAAGCUCUAAGUAUGGGUUUUUAGCAAAUUCUUUAACCAAAACGUACCUACGAAAUAUAUGUAUAGAUGUUUAUUUUUUUAAUCACGUUAGUACAAUUUAUUCUAUAAUGUUGGCUUAAAACCAGAAAAUGAAAAAAAA
rnacentral:misc_RNA from 1 species